rnacentral:misc_RNA from 1 species
GAUGAAGAACGUAGCGAAAUGCGAUACGUAAUGUGAAUUGCAGAAUUCAGUGAAUCAUCGAAUCUUUGAACGCAUAUUGCGCUCUCUGGUAUUCCGGAGAGCAUGCUUGUUUGAGUAUCAGUAAACACCUCAACUUCCAUAUCUUUUUUGAAAUGGGAGUUGGACUUGAGUGAUCCCAACGCUUUUCCUCACCGAAAAGUGGCGGGUUACUUGAAAUGCAGGUGCAGCUUGACUUUUCUCUGAGCUAUAAGCAUAUCUAUUUAGUCUGCCUAAAAAACAGAUUAUUACCUUUGCUGCAGCUAACAUAAAGGAGAUUAGUUCUUGUGCUGACUGAUGCAGGAUUCACAAAGACGGCUUCGGCCGACUUUGUAAACUCGAUCUCAAAUCAAGUAAGACUACCCGCUGAACUUAAGCAUAUCAAUAAGCGGAGGA